CUUGCCAUAGUUUCAUUGAAAAGAAUUACUAGAGUAUACAGGCCAAUGGGAAGGGCAGGAGUCCCUUAGGAUAAUCAUAGCUGUUCCCACUACACUCUUCAAGGUCUUUUGUUCUUCCUUUCUCAUUAGAACAUGACAGCAGCUCUGAGGGGUCAGUGUUGGGAGCCAAUGAGAAAGCUGAAUUUAAGUGACUCACCGGGACCCUUGGGACUCUUCAGAUGGAGAACUUGGCUGUGAAGGGACCUAUCAAUUUGGGCUCCUUCCAGAACUGAAAACUGGUUACAAAUAUGAAACAGAUUUAACUACUGGACUUGAACUCCACAUAAGGAAAAAAAAAAAGAAGAAGAUCCUCAAAGAUCCUCAUCAAAGAAUAGAUGCAGUGUGACUGGCAGGGAUAUCAAAGAGGUUGUAGGGAACAAAGCCAAAGGGACAGGGGAAGAUAGGGGGAGGCAAGCACCCAGAGCUGAUCCCCAGCUGUGCCUUCUCCAGGCACGAAGCCCAAACUCCCACGGUUUUCUCAGCAAUUUAGCAACUAGGAAAAGCUGGCAAAAAAACGAUACCCUGUGAUCCAAAAGAAUGACUGCCCUGCCAGAAGGUGCACUAAAAUCUACGUCCUGUCCUUUUGUCCACCGUGCUUUCUCUACUGCAUUUGCCCUCAGUGACCCGAUUGCCUCCAUUGUAACUGAAGGUGGGGGUCCAGCUGCUUGCUGCUCAACAGCCAAUAAGGAGGCAAGGUUGGUGGAAAUGAAAGUUUGCUGUAUUUUGGAUGCUAGCAAUGGGUUUGGGGGUGGGGCAGACUCCUGUCCAAAGGCUGACUCCCCUCAAAUAACAAUCAGUGAGCAAGAGCUUUGAGAGAUGGAGGGAGGGGCUACAUGUAGAAAGAGCACAGACAGUGCUGACAGUAAUCAUCAGUAGUGUGGUGGUCUGAUCAGUGUCAUCUUGAGUGUUUUCAGUACAGUUAAUCUUCAAUUCCAGGGUCAGUUUGUUCCAAUUUCUUUGAGGCCAGCUCUCAGAAUUGUGACUGCUUAUGUCAUGGCUACAGUCCUGUCAUCUUGUAGUUAGCUUCUUCUACCUGGUGGGAGUUUUAAUAUCUAUAAAAGCUCAAGGAAUAUAGCUCAGAAUAUUGUCUAUAGCCUUUGAGAAGGAACUAAAGAUCCUUGACUUUGUUCAAUGACUGAAUUAUUAUUAUUUGAUCUCUUUUGACUGUUUUCCUUUAUUUCUGCCUUUUCUCACUUCUCUGAUUACACUUGUAUUUUGGCUAAAGUUUUUCCUCAGACAAAAGGCAGACUGAGGACAUGGGGGCUAAGGGCCCCAAGGUUCUGCUCCAUUUCACCCUGACCUGGAACUCAUCGCUCCUCCUUGUCCUACUGCUGAGCAAUUCAGAGCUCCUAGUUCAACUGACUUGAAUAGAACUGAAUUUAAUGUUUCCCUUCAAUGCAUUUCUGAUAAUGUUUUUAUGAGGAAACACACAGCAAGCUUCACAGAAGCUUCGCUUCACUUCAGUUCCUUAGUGUGAGCAUUUUAAACCCAGUGUUCUCUGACCCCCCCUCAGGUCUUUAUCAGUGGGCACAUGAGGCAGUGUCUCUGGGUCACCCAAAGUAAGAAAAGGCUUUCCAGGUGGCGCAAAUGGUAAAGAACCCACUUGCCAAUGCAGGAGACAUAAGAGAUGCGGGCUCAAUCCCUGGGUGGGGAAGAUCACCUGGAGGAGGGCAUAGCAAACCCACUCCAGCUGCCUGGAGAAUCCCAUAGACAGAGGAGCCUGGUGGGGUACAGUCGAUAGGAUUGUAAAGAGUUGAACACAACUGAAGUGACUUAGAACACCAUGUAAGAAAAUGUCAUCAUGAUUAGAUUU
rnacentral:lncRNA from 1 species